rnacentral:rRNA from 1 species
GGAGGAUCAUUAUCGUAGGGCUUCGGCCCUGUCGAGAUAGAACCCUUGCCUUUUUGAGUACCUUUCGUUUCCUCGGCAGGCUCGCCUGCCAAUGGGGACCACAAAAAACACUUUGCAGUACCUGUAACAGUCUGAACAAACAAACAAAAAUUAAAACUUUCAACAACGGAUCUCUUGGUUCUGGCAUCGAUGAAGAACGCAGCGAAAUGCGAUAAGUAGUGUGAAUUGCAGAAUUCAGUGAAUCAUCGAAUCUUCGAACGCACAUUGCGCCCUUUGGUAUUCCUUAGGGCAUGCCUGUUCGAGCGUCAUUUAAACCUUCAAGCUAAGCUUGGUGUUGGGUGACUGUCCGCUUCACGGCGGACUCGCCUCAAAAUUAUUGGCGGCCGGUACAUUGGCUUCGAGCGCAGCAGAAACGCGAACUCGGGCCCGUCGUAUUGGCUCCCAGAAGCUAUCUUCACAAUUUUGACCUCGGAUCAGGUAGGGAUACCCGCUGAACUUAAGCAUAUCAAUAAGCGGAGGA